rnacentral:rRNA from 1 species
GAUGAAUGCUGGCGGCGUGCCUAACACAUGCAAGUCGAGCGGUAACAGGUCUAGUUUACUAGAUGCUGACGAGCGGCGGACGGCUGAGUAACGCGUGGGAACGUGCCCCAAAGUGAGGAAUAACUGCCCGAAAGGGUGGCUAAUGCCGCAUAUGAUCUUCGGAUUAAAGGAUUUAUCCGCUUUGGGAGCGGCCCGCGUUAGAUUAGGUAGUUGGUAGGGUAAUGGCCUACCAAGCCGACGAUCUAUAGCUGGUCUGAGAGGAUGAUCAGCCAGACUGGGACUGAGACACGGCCCAGACUCCUACGGGAGGCAGCAGUGAGGAAUCUUCCACAAUGGGCGAAAGCCUGAUGGAGCAACGCCGCGUGAAGGAAGAAGGCCCUCGGGUUGUAAACUUCUUUUAUAAGUGAAGAAUAUGACGGUACCUGACUAAGAAGCACCGGCUAAAUACGUGCCAGCCGCCGCGGUAA